UGAGUUGGAAAAUUUCUAUUUUCCUCUUUGGCGCUAUCGUCAACUCCGCUAUAGCGCCCGACCGUUGCUCGUCAGUUCGGAUGUGGCUCUCUCGCAAAUUUGUAUACACCGCAUUCCAGUGUGCUCUGGGGCUUUUCCGCUCUGGUGGCGAAAUUUGUAUGACACGCAGCUCCACACAUACAUAUUAUUUAUUUAUCUGCACAUACAUAUACAUACAUAGGUAUUUUGUGUCUAUCGCGAAAGUGCUAAAUGUGACUAAAUGCGACUGGAAGGCUGGCAAAGGAAAACGGGAGAGUAAGAACCAGCUAGAGAAUUGCUAUGGCGUCGUUUUCAUUUAGGGCGGUUGCUCAGCUUUCUCUCCGCUCUUGCUUCCAACGCUGCUAGCGGCCUUCGGAUGACAAACAAUAUGCGUGUGUAGAGCACCCACAAUCGCAAGCGUCCCUACAAAGCUGCAUUACAACGCUGCUGGCUGCAGAAGCACUUUUGAGUAAUGCGUCUCUUCACCUACAUACAUAUGUGUGUGCGUGUCAUAUCAUGAGAGUCCCCACUUUCACGGUUUGUUUAUCAACGCAAUUCGGCAAUUUCGCUCGGUUUCACUAUCUUCUCGUUUGUGUUUUAUUACUUCUGCUUCUGCCGUUUACACCUCCAUCGCGCCGUCGCGGUGAAUGUCAAAAUUGUACAGGCCUGCCCAGUUCGGAGUUUUCGUUUAUAUUUAUAUUGUUUACCUUUGCAAGGUGUGAGCUCUGUGUUGUAAACAAUUUAUAAACAAUUAACUUUUUAGAGCCAAUAAAAAGCUUUCACCAGCAGAUGCGAUCGUGAUAUACACGAAUAUUUGAAAUAUGUUUGCAUUUCGGAUUCACUUUUUUAUGAUUAUUUUUAUACCCCAAACAGGGUUAGUUUGCGGAAAGUUUGCCGGGAGUAACCGUCGGAUAACCCAUAAAAUAUACAUUAUAAUAUGUAUGUAGUAUGUAUUUAAAUGAUCAGCGUGACGAACUGAAUUGUAUUGGCUUGUUCGUCUCUCCGCCUGUAUAUACGCAAGCUGUCUCUUAGUUAUUGAAAUAUCGAUCUGAAAUCACACGUCCUUUUCUACCCAAGAAGCUGCUCAUUUGUCGGAACCUCGGAUAUCAGUCCACUAUAUCAUUUAGCCGUCAUACAAGCUGAGCGAACAAUAUCAAAUUUUUGUAAGCUCUUAAAAUAUAUUGGAAAUCGAUCAUCCACUUUCGCGGUCAGCUCCCUUUUGGGGUCGCAUGUAGAUUUGCGUUCAACAACAAGCCAACAUAACAGCAUCAACAAACACUCAUGCAACAACAGCCACCUCAACCAACAAUGAGUAUCAUCAAGCGAGAUAAUCAACAACAAAACGGACGAACAAACGAACACUGAAGGUGCAACACACGAGAAAUGCUGGCAACACGGUGAAGUGGGACCGACCACCACCGUCCCAAGAGCUAAGCACAAAAGCCCGAGCAGGUGAUUGCAUGGAUAGGCACAGGCUUAUGAACCCCGCAGUAAACAUGUUUCAGCGCUGAAGACGCACAAUUCACAUUUUGUCCGAUUUUGUCGUCUCUUUUAAAAUGACUUGAAAAAUUUAAAGGUUAUUUACUUAAAGACAUAUUGGGCAUUUUAUGAAGGCGAGCCACUCCCUAAGCAGAGGAAUUACAAUUUCUCAUCAUAUUUUUGUAUGCUUAGUAGGGUAUACAAUAUUAAGUUUGUCCAAGUCGAAGUCUUUAAGAAUUGUAUCUCAAGGCCUGUGUAAAAUUUCAUGAAGAGAGCAUUUCUCGAGAAAUCUUGCCAACCAACUUCAAAACAUAUUUUCAAGAAAAACACGUUUAAAGACGGCGCACUUAGCCUAGCUACCCUCGAGCGCACAGGUGCUCAAGACUAUAUCUCGGAAACUACUAGGUAUUAAGCAGUCAACUUGAAAAUUUAGGACAAUAUUUUAGAGAUUUUGUAGAAUUUAAUAAGACAGUAAACAAAUUUAUUUUUCGAAACCCAUGUAACCCUUUAAUACAAAUGAUCAUCGUGCCGAGCUAAGUGUCUGCCCGUCCGUCUGUAUACAUACGAACUAGUCCCUCAGUUUUUGAGACAUACAUAUGUAUAUCAUUUGUCAUUUGUCGGAACGGCCGAUGUUGGACCACCAUAGCAAAUAGCUGCCGUACAAACUGACCAAUCAAAGUUCGUGUAAGAAAUCUUUUGCAUUUGUGAAGGAUAUUAAAGCUAAUUUCCUGUUACUUCAAACUUUUACUACUGGGAUGUAUUUAGCCAAGUUAACAGACCUAAGGCAUGCCAACUGUGUGCAUCUGUAUGUGUAUAUGCACAUCCGUUCAUUUAUUUAAAAUGGUGGGUUUGACACGACACAAAUAUGUUGUUGUUGUAGUAAAGAAUAUUCAGAUCCUGCUUGGGUGAAAACGUAAAGUUAGCAGUCAUCGACAUCAUACGACAUUCCGAUUUAGUCCUGUUAAGAUCGGAACGACCCAAAGAUCCUACUGAACGCCUGUUAAACCGAAACUUAUUCUCGCAGGUUUAAGGAACCAAUGCGCAUCAUAUUCGAUCAUUGGAAUUGAUGAGAAUGUGAUAAGCUGGACUGAUGAAAUGUUGGAAUUGACUGACGAUAUCGAAAUAGUUAAGCAGAUUACAAUCAAGCUGAGACCGUAGCGUCCAAAUUGAGUGAAUAUGCAUUUCUCAAUUGAUGUAGCAACGUAGAUGACCUGUAAAGAGGCGUUUUUCAUGAAUUAUCCACCCUCCAUCAAAAAAUUGAUGAACAGCUGUGAAAAAGUGAGGUUAUAUAUUUAAUAUUGGGAUUUUCGCCGUGAUCCAACAAAAAAACAAAGCUUCAUUUUAAAUAGACAGUAUAUUUUGUUUGUUCAAAGGAUUAAAAGACAACAAUAAACAUAUUAAGUGAAUAUUA